CAGACAACUUAUCACCUUGACAGCAUAAAACAACUUGAAGAAGUCUUGGAUUUUUUAUAUGAAGAAAUGCCCAAAGUUUUUGUAAACCUGGUGGAUUCUCCUCUGCUCACAGUCUCACCUCUUCCACACAGUGAUCAGAAUUAUGUCAGGGAUAUUCUCCUCAAGCCAUGCCUUUGUCCCAGUGAUUGUUCCAGUCUGGAG